CCGCUAUGGCGGCGGUGUUGAGGUUGGGUCCGGGAUGUGGGGCCUUUGACUGAAGGGGUAGGCCAAGUGGAGGUAUCAGGGACGUCGCGCGGCACAGAAGAGGACCAGCCUGGACGCCGGGGACGCUGUCAUGUACGGCGCGGGCGGGGGCCGCGCCAAACCCGAGAGGAAAAGCGGCGCGAAGGAGGAGGCCGGGCCAGGCGGUGCCGGCGGUGGGGGCAGCCGAGUGGAGCUCUUGGUUUUCGGCUAUGCCUGCAAGCUGUUCCGGGACGACGAGCGGGCCCUGGCUCAGGAACAGGGACAGCACCUCAUCCCCUGGAUGGGGGACCACAAGAUCCUCAUCGACAGGUCGGUUCCUCCCCCCACCCGUCGAUCCUUCCCUUCCCUCACCCGCUUGAUCUCGUCUGAUGUUGACUUGAUUGCAAGGACUGCAGAGGGUUUUCUGGAGCCAGCGGGGAUCUGGGGGACACCCCCUCCCCUGUCCCCACCUCCUCCUGGUGUUCUGGUGGGGAGGGGGACGGUGAAACCUGCCCUAAGGCACUCGCUGGAAUUGCGUGCCGCGUCCGUCUCCAGAGGGAUCGUCUCUGGUCCCGCAGCCCCUCUCGAUCCCUCACCCUGUCGCUGGGCUGCAGUUGGCGAUUCCGCGCGGUGAAAGCAGCCAGUGCCCAGGGUCUCUUCCUGAGCGCACCUGGGCCUGCCGCCCGGCGAUGCCAUGGGGUCGUGCGCUGCUUUUCUACUCGCCGCGCUCUCACUGCUGGGUGUACUGGGAGGGUAGCCUGGGAGGCGUGCCUUUAUUCUUCCGAACCGCCGCUCACUGAGACAGUGGCUAGAAGUGUCUCUUGGACCCUGUGAGUUAGCCUUAACCUGUUAUGCCCCCCAGAGCCCUCAGUGGAGCGCCCGUACUUUGCCGGCAUGACGUUUGAUUUCCCGGUGAUAAUCCGACGAGUUUGACAGAUUGAGGUAGUGAGCAAAGUUGCCCGUCAGUUGGCGGCCACUUGACUUCGUGCGGACCCUGGCCUUGCUCUUGGAAGAGAUAGUGUUCUUAGGGCUGGUUUCACUGUCUCUUAAAACUGAAGGGUGGAGCUGGGAUAUAGAUGUGUUGUUUCUUUUCAAAUCAAACCUGCUUUAGGUCGUCACUCGAGGGUGUCUAGCGAUUAUGGGCAGUGGGGGCCUGGGAUUAGGGAUUUCUAAAGGCGUUUGAUUUGAAAAGGAUAACAUUACAUGAUGUAGGUGGUUUGCUCCCCUCUUUCUUCCCAUUUUUUCAAUCCCCCUUCCCCUCGUCUCUGGGUUUUGGGGUUGUUGUGGGGUAGUUUUUUUCUUUUUUGCCUGUUCGGCUACUUCUGGGGCCCGGACUGAAAAGCUAACCAUGACCAGCCAUUAAACUGUGGAAUAGUUUCUCCACGUGAAGAAAGCCCAUCGUUUGAGACCAUUAAAACUGGAUUCUUCAUAGCCCUGGAGCAUGACUGUAGGGAUGACCUCUGAGCUGGCCAGAAUGGACCCAUUAAUGACCAAAUAGGCCUUUUUCCAUCCCUGACGUUUCCUCUUGGAAUUAGAGCUCGAAAACAAGAACUGGUGAAGGGAGGGCCGCGGAAUCAGAUCAUGUCUGGAUCUGAUGGCUCCGUGCUGUGCUCAAGCGUGCUGUGCCUUCACACCAUGGUUUAUAUUGAAUAUGUCGCCUGAGUUGUCAGGCUUGCUUUUCCAAAGUGUCACUUGUGAUAUUUAUCAUUAAAGUUUGGUAAGCAAUGAAGUCUGAGCUCUUUGUACAGUUUUCCUGUCAUUCUGUACAUGAUUUGAGUUAGGUCUUCCAAAACUGGUGGGGAGCAAACGCCGCACAUGUACAUGUAUAAUAUUUUUAAUAAUAAUCUACAUUUGUAAGUUAAGGAGGUUUACAUCAAAGUCCAAUUAAUUUUUAAAUUUAAUGAAAUGCAGUAACUUGACUACCUUGGAAUUUUGGGCCUUUUUCCUGUAAAUGUCUUUUUUGGUCUACAUUAAAAUUUUUGGUUCCCCUUACAAAAGUCAGCAUUAAAAAAAUAAGCAGACUUUUGUUUGUUUCUCUACAUUUGUUUUUGAAACCCUAAACCUGAGUGUUUUAAGUAAAAUUCACUCACUCACUCAUUUAUUAUCUGACAGUUACACGUUGACAGCACCCUCAUUGAAUCCUUUAUGUUAAAAACAUAGCAGAAAGUGCUCCCAUUACUUAUUUGGCCAAACUACUGUUCGGUCCAUGCAAGAGAAACGUGGAAGUGUCUUCAUGUAUGUUAUUUCCUUGAGGGUAUAAAGUUCAGAAGGAAAUAUUGAUACCGUAUCUUCUAAUAGUUUUGCUCUGUUCCCAGUGAACCUCCUUAAACUGCAUGUAUAUGUCACUGUUCCGAUGUAUGUGUGUCUCUCUAUCACGUAACCCAGCACUUAUUUCCUCAGCCAAGUGGCUAGGGGGCGAGCCUAGCCAAGAUUUUACCUCCAAUGGACGCAAGUUUCUUUGGUGAAGAUCUCUCCUGAGAGUUCGGGACUAGCAGAAAGAAGCGAGGAAAUUUCGACCGUUUGGUUCUUACGGAUAGGUAUUUAUGUAUUUGGUUUGUGUGAAUGUAAGCUAUGAUAUUUAACUUUUCAGAAAAAAAUAAUAAUUUUUUGCAAGUGGCAUUGAAUGGUUGACCAAACCAUAAUGGUAAGAACUGCCAGUGAAGUGGAUACCAUUUUUGCUAUUAAUGGAUUGUUUGCCUUUAGUUAUAAAUGUUAUCUUACUGUGGAAAGGCAUUUAGAGUUUGUUAAGAUAACUUGAGUUUAAAAGUAGGUGAGAUAUGACUAUCCAAAUUAAAUAUAAAUCUGGGAAGAGUUUUUAUACUUGUUUUAAUAUUUUUAUUUAUUUUAAUUGGUAAGUAUGUGUGUAUCUAUAUAUACAUAUAUAAAACAUCACACAUGCACACCAGUCUAGACGUUAAUUUCCUUUUAUUGACCAGCUUGUUCACAUUACAGAUAUGAUGGACGUGGUCACCUGCAUGACCUUUCUGAGUACGAUGCUGAGUAUUCCACGUGGAACAGAGAUUAUCAGCUGUCUGAAGAGGAGGCGCGAAUAGAGGCCCUGUGUGAUGAAGAGAGGUAUUUAGCCUUGCAUACGGACUUGCUUGAGGAGGAGGCAAGGCAAGGUACUGCUCAAGACAAACUUACUUCAGCAACAAACUUUUUAAAAUUUUUAAGUAUUUAAAAAUUUACUCCCAUUCAUUUUUUUAUACUCACUCUUUCUGAUAUUAUCUUGACAGUACCCAGUGGAUUGGAAAAACAGGAGUCUUUGCGUUCUGAGAGGACCUCAGGAUAGUUUAUAUAUAGAGCCACAAAGAAUUUUCCCAGCUUUUGAGGGCAGACUGGGAUUUGAAAAAAACAAAAACCAAACUCUUUAACUGUUCUUCUUUAACAGUAUCGUAUAAAUAAAAUUGAUGUUCUUGUCUUUGCUGUAACAGUCUUUAAUACAGUUCUUAAUCCCAAAAUUUUCUCAGCAGGAAGAAAUUUUCCACAAAAGACGUGUAUUCAGCUGUCUGUGGGUAAACAUGUACUGACAAAAGUACAUAUUGAUAGAUAUAAAGUGUGAAUUUUUAAAAAUAUUUUACCUCAAAAGUAGGUUGAAAAAAGUAUGUUGUAUGCUUUACUGAUAGCUACAACUUUAGAAAUAUGUAAAGUUUUUCUCAGUAAUUUUCUAUUUUUGUUGAUAAAAUCCUCAUUUUUAUUCAAGAGGAAGAAUACAAGCGAUUGAGUGAAGCACUAGCAGAGGAUGGGAGCUACAAUGCCGUGGGGUUCACUUACGGUAGCGACUAUUACGACCCGUCAGAGCCAACAGAGGAGGAGGAGCCUUCCAAACAGAGAGAAAAAAAUGAGGCUGAAAAUUUAGAGGAAAAUGAAGAGCCCUUCGUUGCCCCCUUAGGAUUGAGCGUCCCGUCUGACGUGGAGUUGCCACCAACCGCUAAAAUGCACGCCAUCAUCGAGCGCACGGCCAGCUUCGUGUGCAGGCAGGGAGCACAGUUUGAGAUCAUGCUGAAGGCCAAGCAGGCCCGGAACUCCCAGUUCGACUUUCUGCGCUUCGACCACUACCUCAACCCCUACUAUAAGUUCAUCCAGAAAGCCAUGAAGGAGGGACGCUACACCAUCCUGGCAGAAAACAAAAGUGACGAGAAAAAAAAAUCAGGAAUCAGCUCUGACAAUGAAGAUGAUGAUGAUGAAGAAGAUGGGAAUUACCUGCAUCCCUCUCUCUUUGCCUCCAAGAAGUGUAACCGACUUGAAGAGCUGAUGAAGCCCUUGAAGGUAGUGGACCCAGAUCAUCCCCUCGCAGCGCUUGUUCGUAAGGCACAGGCUGACAGUUCCACUCCCACCCCACACAACGCAGACGGUGCGCCUGUGCAGCCCUCCCAGGUGGAGUACACGGCAGACUCGACCGUGGCAGCCAUGUAUUACAGCUACUAUAUGCUACCGGACGGCACUUACUGCCUGGCGCCGCCCCCUCCCGGAAUCGAUGUGGCUACUUACUACAGCACCCUUCCUGCUGGCGUGACCGUGUCUGACUCCCCUGGAGUGACAACCACUGCCCCACCACCUCCUGGGACCACACCACCACCGCCCCCAACCACGGCGGAGACUAGCAGCGGGGCCACCUCCACAACCACCACCACAAGUGCACUUGCCCCCGUGGCCGCCAUCAUCCCCCCGCCCCCCGACGUCCAGCCCGUGAUUGACAAGCUGGCCGAGUAUGUCGCCAGGAACGGCCUGAAGUUCGAGACCAGUGUUCGUGCCAAGAAUGAUCAAAGAUUUGAGUUCCUGCAGCCGUGGCACCAGUAUAAUGCCUAUUAUGAGUUUAAGAAGCAGUUCUUCCUCCAGAAAGAAGGGGGUGAUAGCACACAGGCUGUGUCUGCACCAGAAGAGGCUCCCACAGACUCUGCUCCCGAGAAGCCAAGUGACGCUGGGGAGGAUGGCGCGCCUGAAGAUGCAGCCGAGGUGGGAGCACGGGCAGGCUCAGGCGGGAAGAAGGAGGCAUCGUCCAGUAAGACCGUCCCGGACGGGAAGCUGGUGAAAGCUUCCUUUGCUCCAAUAAGCUUUGCAAUCAAGGCCAAAGAAAAUGAUCUGCUUCCCCUGGAAAAAAAUCGUGUUAAGCUAGAUGAUGACAGUGAUGAUGAUGAAGAAAGCAAAGAAGGCCAAGAAAGUUCUAGUAGUGCUGCAAACACUAACCCAGCAGUUGCCCCACCCUGUGUAGUUGUUGAGGAGAAGAAGCCUCAACUUACCCAGGAGGAGCUAGAAGCAAAGCAAGCAAAGCAAAAGCUGGAAGAUCGCCUCGCAGCUGCUGCCCGGGAAAAGCUGGCCCAGGCGUCUAAGGAAUCAAAAGAGAAACAGCUUCAAGCAGAACGUAAAAGGAAAGCGGCGUUAUUUUUACAGACCCUCAAAAAUCCUCUGCCGGAAGCAGAAGCUGGGAAAAUUGAGGAGAGUCCUUUCAAUGUCGAGGAAUCCAGCACUACGCCCUGCCCUCUACUGACUGGAGGCAGACCUCUGCCUACUUUAGAAGUUAAACCACCCGAUAGGCCUUCGAGCAAAAGCAAAGAUCCACCAAGAGAAGAAGAG
rnacentral:sRNA from 1 species